UGGUGUUAAAGUCCAUUGAGAUG
rnacentral:siRNA from 1 species